CUUGACCUCCAACAGUAUCAGCAACAGAGAGGUGUGAAGUUUCCACAACAGAGUUAGAGUCAGUUUAUCAUGUACUUCUCUUUAGACGCUGCAGCCUUGACCUCCAUCAACAGAGUUAGAGUUAGUUUAUCAUGAGAACAUACAGACACCACUGACUGGAACCAGCUGACAGUAUCAGUUGUAAAGGCUUCAUUACUACUAACAGAAGGAAAGUUGUAGUGUUAUGUCCAUGAUGAAUGAUGUAAAGGCUUCAUUACUACUAACAGAAGGAACGUUGUAGUGUUAUGUCCAUGAUGAAUGAUGUAAAGGUUUCAAUGUGUUUUAUAUUGAGCUGCUCUGUUAAAUUCUGUUUGUUCAUGUGAAAUUGGAAAUUGUAUUUUUCUAUAAUGUCAUUGUGUGUGUUUAGCUUGAGCAACACCAUUGUAUGGUUGCUAACUUGUCAAAUAAAGCUUCCUAAAAUGUGUUAGAAAA